rnacentral:rRNA from 1 species
AAUGAACGUUGGCGGCGUGGAUUAGGCAUGCGAGUCGCGCGAGAAUGUAGCAAUACAGGACAGCGGCGAAAGGGAGAGGACAACAUGGGAAUCUGCCCUGGGGACGAGGAUAGCGUCGGGAAACUGACAGUAAUACUCGAUAAUGUUUGCGGACCAAAGGUGUGAUUCCGCCCCAGGAUGAGCCCGUGCCCCAUUAGCUUGUUGGCAGGGUAACGGCCUACCAAGGCUAUGAUGGGUAGCUGGUGUGAGAGCACGACCAGCCUCACUGGCACUGAGACACUGGCCAGACACCUACGGGUGGCUGCAGUCGAGAAUCUUUGGCAAUGGACGAAAGUCUGACCAAGCGACGCCGCGUGCGGGAUGAAGGCCUUCGGGUUGUAAACCGCUGUCGUAGGGAAUCAAAUGUAUUGGGGUACUCCCUUACCUUCGUAGAGAGUCCUACGGUAGGAAGGGAAGGAAGGACGUAACGUACGUCGUCGGUCCGACGACGAGACCGGCCGGUAAAACGUAACUAACCGG